UAGGGAAUCUUCCACAAUGGACGCAAGUCUGAUGGAGCAACGCCGCGUGAGUGAAGAAGGUUUUCGGACCGUAAAGCUCUGUUGUUGGUGAAGAAGGAUAGAGGUAGUAACUGGCCUUUAUUUGACGGUAAUCAACCAGAAAGUCACGGCUAACUACGUGCCAGCAGCCGCGGUAAUCGUAGGUGGCAAGCGUUGUCCGGAUUUAUUGGGCGUAAAGCGAGCGAGGCGGAAGAAUAAGUCUGAUGUGAAAGCCCUCGGCUUAACCGAGGAAUUGCAUCGGAAACUGUUUUUCUUGAGUGCAGAAGAGGAGAGUAGAACUCCAUGUGUAGCGGUGGAAUGCGUAGAUAUAUGGAAGAAUACCAGUGGCGAAGGCGGCUCUCUGGUCUGCAACUGACGCUGAGGCUCGAAAAGCAUGGGUAGCGAAC
rnacentral:rRNA from 1 species